GCAGGCUUGAGUCUUGUAGAGGGGGGUAGAAUUCCAGGUGUAGCGGUGAAAUGCGUAGAGAUCUGGAGGAAUACCGGUGGCGAAGGCGGCCCCCUGGACAAAGACUGACGCUCAGGUGCGAAAGCGUGGGGAGCAAACAGGAUUAGAUACCCUGGUAGUCCACGCCGUAAACGAUGUCUACUUGGAGGUUGUGCCCUUGAGGCGUGGCUUCCGGAGCUAACGCGUUAAGUAGACCGCCUGGGGAGUACGGCCGCAAGGUUAAAACUCAAAUGAAUUGACGGGGGCCCGCACAAGCGGUGGAGCAUGUGGUUUAAUUCGAUGCAACGCGAAGAACCUUACCUGGUCUUGACAUCCACAGAAGAAUCCAGAGAUGGAUUUGUGCCUUCGGGAACUGUGAGACAGGUGCUGCAUGGCUGUCGUCAGCUCGUGUUGUGAAAUGUUGGGUUAAGUCCCGCAACGAGCGCAACCCUUAUCCUUUGUUGCCAGCGAUUAGG
rnacentral:rRNA from 1 species